UACAGAGGGGGCAAGCGUUGUUCGGAAUUACUGGGCGUAAAGGGCGCGUAGGCGGCCUUCUAAGUCGAACGUGAAAUCCCCGGGCUCAACCCGGGAACUGCGUCCGAUACUGGAAGGCUUGAAUCCGGGAGAGGGAUGCGGAAUUCCAGGUGUAGCGGUGAAAUGCGUAGAGAUCGGCAGGAACACCCAGGGAGAAAUCAGCCGCCUGGGCAAGUGCUGACGCUGAGGUGCGAAAGCGUGGGGAGCGAACCGG
rnacentral:rRNA from 1 species